UACGGGGGGGGCAAGCGUUGUUCGGAAUUACUGGGCGUAAAGGGCUCGUAGGUGGCCAACUAAGUCGGACGUGAAAUCCCGGGGCUCAACCUCGGAACUGCCUUUGAUACUGCAAAUCUCGAGUCCGGAAGAGGUGAGUGGAAUUCCUAGUGUAGAGGUGAAAUUCGUAGAUAUUAGGAAGAACGCCAGUGGCGAAGGCGGCUCACUGGUCCGGUACUGACGCUGAGGUGCGAAAGCGUGGGGAGCAAACAGG
rnacentral:rRNA from 1 species